rnacentral:rRNA from 1 species
UACGGGGGGGGCAAGCGUUGUUCGGAAUUACUGGGCGUAAAGGGCUCGUAGGCGGCCAACUAAGUCGGAUGUGAAAUCCCCAGGCUUAACCUGGGAACUGCAUCCGAUACUGGAUGGCUUGAAUCCGGGAGAGGGAUGCGGAAUUCCAGGUGUAGCGGUGAAAUGCGUAGAUAUCCGGAGGAACACCGACGGCGCAGGCAGCGUCCUGGCCGCUUGCUGACACUGAGGCACGAAAGCUGGGGGAGCAAACAGG